rnacentral:lncRNA from 1 species
UUAUCAAUCAUGGGAAAAACCACACAAACAAUGACAAAAGAGGAUGAUGAGGAAAUUGUUUUCCGGAGCCGUUACCCGUCUGUCCCCAUUCCCGACAAUCUCACGUUGAAGGAAUUCUUACUCAAGGUAUAAUGUUAGCGUGAUUCUCUCUGAUAUGACGACUAUUGGAUCAUUGAGAAGAGAAAUUAGUGUUGAAUAGGUGUUGGAUUUCAGCAUUUGCAAACAAUUGCAAUGGCACACACUAACAAAGCUGUUUAAUGAUGUAUUGAUGUUUCAGUAUUUUUUUAUUCCGUCAAUUUUUCCUUAUCUCCCUCUGUUUCCUAUCGGGAGAAUUCCUGGGUCGGUAUUAAGUGUUGCACUAAUGGUUGUCUUUAAUAUAUUAACCUUGGAUGAAGCGGUUAAAUCUAUGGAUCCUUUGUUUUUUUGUAUUCUCUUUGGCA